CUGAAGCCCUGCGCUUCCUUUCCCCAGCUGUAACGGACUCAAGUAAAGAGUCUUCAGCUCUGGGUCUUGAAAGCCCUUAGAUCACGAUAAUGAAAUUUCAGCCAAGCAAUCUCGCAAAUGGAAGCGCUGUGAACUGCUUGGCCUGACCCUCAGUCUUUGCCCUUUUGCAGAAUCUAAGCAUUUGCUUGUGGCCUUUAUCUUCACUCUGGAAGCUUGAGAAAACUGCACAGCGAACAGAGUCACUACACAGCUAGCCCCAGUUGUUCAUGCACAUUACAGAGAGUCACCAAAAAUCUAGGUGGCUUCUUCCACAGGCAAGACAAUGACGUAACAGCUGUCAGAUUGCCCCUUCUGCCAGAGUGAACCCAACCCAAAGAAACAGAAAGCAGAGACAGCGAUGAAAGAAUGGCAUUUACACCUUCAGCAUGGGGAGCACGAGGCAGCAAUUCCUGAGCACAGAGGAAAAUGGGAGAUGUGUUACCCAGGGUCCAGCUUGCAGGGAUUAGCAGUGUUUGCAGUGUACAUGCACAAGACUAAAAAAAGAAUGAUCACACCAAGCUAUGAUGGUAAUAAGAAGUGUCAAAGUAUGUUCAAGACUUUUAUGUCAGAAAAUGGAAAAAAAACAGGAGCUAGAGAGAUGGCUCAGUGGUUAAGAGCACUGACUGCUCUUCCAGAGGUCCUGAGUUCAAUUCCCAGGAACCACAUGGUGGCUCACAAUCAUCUGUAAUGGGAUCUGAUGCCCUCUUUUGGUGUGUCUGAAGACAGUGACAGUGUACCUACAUACAUGAAAUAAAUAAACAAAUCUUUUUUAAAAA